rnacentral:tRNA from 1 species
GGGUCCGUAGCUCAGUUGGAUAGAGCGCUUGCCUCCGGAGCAAGACGUCGCGCGUUCACGCGCCCGCAAGCGGGCACCCGGCGCCGGGCCCACCA